AAGGAAACGGGAGGGAUAGCUGGUGCAGACUUGAGGGAACAAAGCUGGAAAAAAAAAUCUGAUCCAUCUGCAAUUCUUAACUCUUAAAGGCAAGAGGAGUUGGAGAUGGAAAAGUGAUUGGAUGGAAUUGGAACGUUGUUUUGGGAAAUUCCAUCACUAUGUGUAUAUAUUGGAGUCACGUUUUCUUUCGUAUUUUAAGAUGGUUGAAUCUUCUGUUUUGAGUUGAUGUAAUAUUAAGAAUGGAUGUUUAGAACGUGUA